UCUUUCCUGCAUCAGGUUCUAUGGAGAAUUGGUUGCAUGGUUUCUCGUGCUGUGGGCAUCAGGGACUUCAGGGUGAAGGUAUUUAGCUGUGGCUUUGUGCAAACCUCAGAACUGUGUCCUCCAAGGGCCUGGGGUAUUUGGCAGGCGCUGUCUCUUGCUGCCUUUGCUGCUGUAUGACAGACCUUCCUCGGGAACCACCUUCCUGGGCCUCUCCUUCAGUCAAGCUGCACAGCAGCAUUUUCUACACUUGCUCUGGAGGCGUCCUCACUGUCAUGCACUAGCAGUUGUUGGUGAGGUUCUUCAGGCUGCAGAUGGAGACAUGGGAAGGGCUGGACUGGCUCCCCUUCUCACUGUGGCUGGGCAGGGUAGGGGGUACCCCGG
rnacentral:lncRNA from 1 species